AGCAAUCAGAUAAGUUGGCUUUUUCCUCUCUCUUUUUCCUCCCCUGCCUCUUGCUGCCUGCUAAUUAAAGAGAAAAACGAAACGCGUAGGUUCAGGGCUUUUAAUUUUAAGGCCCUUGGUCUAUUUUUUUUCCACUACCCGCGCCAGCACGUUCUUUCUCCUCUCUAUCGUGCGGCUAGCCCAUCUUCUGCCCCCAUCGCCGGUCAGCUUCCUACCCUACCGCGGCAGAUUCUCUCUCUUCCCUCUCUCUGUUUGCCCUCUUUCCCCUGACGCGUUCGCCGCCGUUUCUUUCUCAGUCCCAGGAGAAACAAAGAAUGGAAACACAAAAGAGUCACCCUGACAAACAACCAUCACCAGUUGUGGCUUCAUGUAGGAAGAAAAAGAAUGAGGAAGCAGCUUUCCUUGAAGACUUGAAGGAUCACAUUGAUGAGUUCAUUAAUGCAUCAAUGGAUGAGCACAUAGGUUGCUUUAAGAAGACCAUCCAAAAGAUGUUUGGAAUGUCAAAAGUUGUAGCAGAAAGGAGUGCUGAAUCUAAGGAAGUUGAAAGUGUUCUGCCCUUUCGAACAACAUUGUCAAAAUAAAUGUUGAUAUGGUCAUGGAGACUCUAUUAACCCGCGGGCUUAAACCAAAACCCACAUAUCUCAGCCCCUCAAAUAGGAGACUUGAGAUCUUGUUUAAGGAAGGCCAAAUGACUUUUGCUGACAUGCCACUCAUAAAUGAGCACCAGCUCCAAUUGGAUUCAAUCAUGGAGGAUGUGGUGAAGAGAGAAAUGAUUAAGUGGCUGGUUGCGGGUAUUAAAUUUGGUGUCAUCACUAUGGCCAAUUCAGAUUGAAGAUGAAGAGAAAGUCAAGCUGAUUGACUUUAAAUUCAACGAUUUUUGGAAGGUAUCCUAAGUUUGUUUUCUUUUAUCUGUUAUGUUAGUUUGCUUUCUUUACUUGUAGGUAAAAAUAAAGCCAAUCACAGAGCUUCAAAGAGGUCAUCAGUCCACAUUAGAGGAGUAAAUUGAAGGACUAGGUAAUUAAUCAUGCUUAAGGAUGCCUUGGUGCUACAUUGCUUGAGGAAUUUGCACUCUAAACCGAGAUCUUCAAUUGAGCUACAUGUUCGGACCUUAUGUGCAUAACAAGAAACUUGAGAAGCCAAGAAAAAUGACUACAAGCUGCCAUUGCUGUGAGGAACUUGUGUGCAUAAACUAAGAGCCGAAUUGGAAAAGCCAUGGUUGCCAAGCUUGCAAGGAGGGACAUGAGCAGAUUAGAGCUGAUGGGAACUGAAUUUUAUGAGUUGAAGAAGCCAUUAAGAGAUCUAAAAAAUGCCAACACCAUAAGCCAAGGCAAAGCCAGCACCAUGAAGUGCCAAGUCGAGAGUUGCCUUAUUGAUUACUUGAAUGAGCCUAGUCCAUUACAUGAGCUAACUUGCAAGAAUAAGGGGCUGAUUUAGGUAAGCUUGAAGCCAAUUUUAGGAGCUGCUGAGGUGAGCCACUAAGCCAUAUUUAAGUGCACAUGCAACAGAGAAAGGAUGGCACAAAAGAAGGGGGACCAAUGCACUAGAGGACAAAGUUGGACCAUAAUGAAAAUGACUGGAAGCCACUACACUCUACUGUAAUUCGCAAUUUGGGAGAAUAUUUAGGCUGUAACUUUAGAGGAUUAUGUGUACAAUGAGAUGACAUUAAGGUGGGAAGGCAUUGGCCCACCUAGGAUGAAGCACAUGGGCUGUAAAGAAGGUGGAAAGGAUGCAUGGGAGACAAGUAUGCCAAAUCUGCCAGCGUAGUUUGGGGACCAUUCCAGUCUUCAUUCUCUCUCAUUUGAGGUGCAUACAUGGCCAUCUACUUGUCCUUUAUGUAGCUACAUAAUCCUCUCCCAUUGGUCCAAUUGUACAAGCUCAUAUGAAGCAAAUUUCAUGGACAAAAUAGCCUAGGCAAUCACUAUUUUUUAGCACACGAAUUCUCUUCAUUCUUCAAGCAAUUAAGGGGCUGACUUUGACAAUUUAAGCAAAAUAUAACUGGCUGUAAAAAUACCUAGGAUGUACUAUAAAUAGAAUAUGAUAGGGCUAAACCAAUAAACCAAGGGAGCCCCCUUUGGGUUUUUUUUUUUUUUGGCUGCCAGUGAUGCCUCCUCCAGGUAGCAGCCUUGCUGACCUUGUUAGCUGGCUUUAGGGGCCUCCAUUUUUGCUCCCGUCUCCUAGUAUCUUCAUAGCUAUUUACCUUUUUUCAUUUACCUUUUCUGUACUAACCUUCACUUUAAAUAUUAGACCUUUUCAUUUUGCAAUGUAAUUUACAAUUUCCUUUUACUUUAUUUCCAACUCUGUUUGCUCCUUUUUUUUUAAUUUAUUUUUGCCUUACUUUGGGCUUGUUCUUUGGUUGAGAAGGAUAGUUUAUGAAGGUCUUGGGCAUGAGCAAUCAUCCAUCGGGCCUAAAUAACUUGACUCUUUGCUUAGUUCUUUUAAUUUCAAAAUUUUAUUGACUGAUUUUUAGUUUCUGUUUAGCCUUUAAUUUUCGGUUAUUUAAGCUUGUUUCCUUGCUUAUUUGCCUGCUAGUUGAGAUCAUUUUCAUGCCAUUAUAUUAUGUUUAAGUGUUAUUUUCAUGCCUUCAAAUUUUCAAAUGUUUAAGUUCUCUUUGUUUUUCAUUUUCUUAGAAUGUUGCUAUUUCAACUUUGUUUUUUUGCCUAAUCUGUUUAGUUUUGCGUAUUCACUUCCUAUAGUUUUUCUGUUGCAUUUUGAGUUUUUUUUUUUUUAAGUUUAUGAUGUUUGAUUUAAUGUUCCAUUGCAUCUUCUUUGAAUUUAGUAGUUGUUUUCUUCUUGAUUUUUCAAGGCUAUUUAGUUCUCUUCUAGGUUGUUUCCAACCCUUUAAAUUUGCAUUUUAGGUUCUUUAGUAAGUCUUUUUAAUGUUAUUUGAUGUCAUUUAGGUUUGGUUUCAUGUUCAAGUAAUUUCUCAUAUAUUUCUCUAGGUGUUUGUUGAAAGGUUUUCAUGUAGUUUCCUUAAUCUUGCAUUCGGUUUUCAGCUUCUGUUUAAAGCAAAUUUCAGUUAAGUUUUAACUUUUAUAAUGUUGUGUUUCAAGUCUUUUUCAUGCCUUAAUCUUGUUCAUUUAGUGUUAUGCAUGGUAGGGUAGGUUUUAUGAACAUUUAGCUUAAGUUCACCUAGUGUUUGAUGUUUGUUGUUUGUCAUUUUAAUAGGUUUAACUGAUCGAUUUUAGUUGCUGUACAAGUUCUGUUUUCAACUCAAAUUACUGCCUUUUACUUUCAUUUUUAUGCCUUUGAUUUCCCAUGUUACUUGAGUGUUUUGUUCCUGAAUGUCUAGUUGUUUAUUUUCCUUAGAUUCCAUGUUGUUAAUUAGUUGUUUUAUAUUUUAGUGUCAAUUGCUGCCAUGCAUUUUUCAUACUCGGUUCUUAUGUUAGAUUAGGUCCACAUUAUUUUGUGCUUCAUGCAUUUAAGUGCCAUGCAAGUUUCAUUUCAUUUAUGUUCAUGCAUGUUCAUUCUAUGCCAUUUAGAUUUUCUUGCUAACUAGGUUUUCUUACAUUUUUAAAUUUUAUGAUUAGUUUUACUUAAUACAUGUUAAAUUGUAUUCUUCGACUUUCAUGUUUUAGUGUUAGAAGUUAAUUUAAAGCCUUACUUUUUAGGUUUAGAAAUUU